rnacentral:rRNA from 1 species
AUGAUACUGGUAAGCGGGACGCCCAAACGGGCCACAGCUCCGAAGGCAGAUAGAUCAGUACUUGUAGUCCUUGACGUGGAGGCUCUCAGAGGCGCCCUCGCCAAGGGUGGCGUCGCCCUUGUAGGUGCCAAGGGUGGCCUCGGAGUUGGCCUUGCACCUCACCAGGAACGCCGUCCUGGCCUUCUCCUCGUUCUCCGUCUUGCCGGACCAGGCCUUGAGGGUGCUCUGCUGGAGGGCACGCCCGAAGGAGAAGGACAGGUUCCAGGGCUUCUUGGUCUGGAGCUUGUUCAUGGCGUUCAGGUUCAGGGUCGCCUCCUCCUCACUCUGUCCACCGGAGAGGAAGACAAUGGCGGGGACGGCAGCAGGGACGGUCCUCUGGAGGGUGCGGACGGUGUACUCAGCAAUCACCUCAGGGGCCACCUUCUUGGCGUCGGAUCCAGGGGUGACCAUGUUGGGCUUCAGGAGGGUGCCCUCAAGGAGGACAUGCUGGUCGUUGAGGGCCUUGUAGCAGGCAGCAAGGACGAUCUCAGUCACGUAAGCACAGCGGUCAAUGUCAUGAGGUCCAUCAACAAGGAUCUCAGGCUCAACAAUGGGCACCAGCCCAUUCUCCUGGCAGAUGAUGGCAUAGCGAGCCAGACCCUGAGCGUUCUGGUCGAUGGAGAGCUGUGA